CCUACGGGUGGCUGCAGUGAGGAAUAUUGGUCAAUGGACGCAAGUCUGAACCAGCCAUGCCGCGUGCAGGAAGACGGCUCUAUGAGUUGUAAACUGCUUUUGUACGAGGGUAAACGCAGAUACGCUUAUCUGUCUGCAAGGAUCAUCCGAAUAAGGAUCGGCUAACUCCUUUCCAGCAGCCGCGGUAAUACGGAGGAUUCAAGCGUUAUCCGGAUUUAUUGGGUUUAAAGGGUGCGUAGGCGGUCGGAUAAGUUAGAGAUGAAAUCCCGAGGCUCAACUUCGGAAUUUCCUCUGAUACUGUUCGGCUAGAGAGUAGUUGCGGUAGGUGGAAUGUAUGGUGUAGCGGUGAAAUGCUUAGAGAUCAUACAGAACACCGAUUGCGAAGGCAGCUUACCAAGCUACUUCUGACGUUGAGGCACGAAAGCGUGGGGAGCAAACAGGAUUAGAUACCCUUGUAGUC
rnacentral:rRNA from 1 species